rnacentral:rRNA from 1 species
AUGUUUUUGGCAAAGAGGAAAAGGAAAAAUCAUUCGGGCUUUGCAGUUUUGGAGUGGAAGGAAGGAGUAGUAAAAUGUGAAAGCAAUGAGCUUUGGGUGGAGCUGGGGAAGGAGGAAGGGAAAGCUUUUUCUUGGUUUCAGUACCGCCCAUUUAUACGCGCCGCUCCCGUCCCGUCUUGUCCUCUCUCUCUCCUCCUCCUCCCUCCUCCCCCAAUCCCUCUCUCUCCCCCAUCACCUCACAGGCACAGUUCUUCUUGUUGUCCUCAUCCACCCCAUCAUCAGCUGGAGCUGGAGCUGGAAUCAGGUUGGUAG